UGCAGCCCCGGCAGCCCUGCCUUCUUGGCUGGAGAGUAUAUUCAGGGAUUUCCCCUUAAUAAUCACCGACCCUGGGAGCACUUUUUUAGUUUCCAAAAUAAAAAUAUGGUCCUCACCCCUCUUGCUUGACAGGGAAAGGCUCUCGCCGAAGCCCAGGGGGGAGCAGUAGCAGCAGUAACCGAGCUUCCCUAGUCCAUUGCCAGCGCCUCUCACUCUGAUCUGUCAGCCCAGGGAAAAGGGGGGAAGGAGAAAAAAAAAAAAAAAAAAAAAAAAAAAAAAGCUGCUGAAAGGUAAGCAGAGGCGGCCCCAGGCCCGGCCCACAUCCCCGGGCUCCCGUAGGGCGGCGGGCUGGGCCGCGCAGGCAGGGCGGGCGGCGAGCGCGCUUACGUGAGGCCGGGGAUUCGCCGGCCCACGCCAGGCCCUGGGCGGAGAAUGAAAGGGUGAGUGGGGCCGGCGCUGGGGUGGCGAGGGCCGGGGGCCUCGGAGGCCUGAGCCGGCAGCUCCCGACGGCGGGGGUCCGGCCAAGCCGGGACAGAGCGGGGCGAGCGGCGCGGCCUACGCGGGCCAGGGUCGGGGGUUGUGCGGCGAGAGGGGGGCGCCGGCUAGGCCUCGGGCCGGCGGGCCCUGAGGUGGCCGCGCCCUGCCCCCGCACCCGGGCCUCGGCGCCCCCCGGGGUCCCCUGGGGGCGUCGGCGCGGGACGGCGGCGCCGCGGGCCGACUUCGGCGCGGGCUCCGAGGCCCUCCGGUGGGGCGGCAGGCCCGGGCUGCCGGGACAGGGGAGUCAGGGCCUCGGAGGAGCAUGGGCGGCCGCCCCCGCUUUCCGUGGGUGUCUCGUAGACGCCCCCCGGAUUCUGUGUAGUAAACUGAAGUUUCCAAAUCUCAAUUUCCCGCUUUUCAAGGAUAGGAUGUUUCCUGUGGCUAUGGCUUAACCUCCUCCUGUUUGUCCUUUAGUGUUCAAGUUGAAAUGUUAAUGGAGCCUUCCACCCCCAUCCUCAGUGUGGGCUGGUAAUUUUUUACUUUUUCAUUUGUCCUUUCUCCUCUUUCCAGUGAGCUUGUGUGUGUGUAUCCUGCUUGGUGGCAGGGUGGACAUUGCUGACAGAGGUGUUGUACACUCUGACCUUUUAACCUGUAGGGCACUUGAGCAGUGGUAACCCAUGACUUUGUCAGCCCUGAUUUCUGUCAGGUACCUAUCCAGCUGAGACUCCUUAUGUCAUUCUUACCAAGUAUGUCUGUCUGACUUUUCCUUUUGUCCUCCUGAAACUGUUCUCAUAUAAUGAUGGAUAAUCAGCCUUUGAGCAUCGUGCUUCAGAAAGUCUUGUUUGUGGAAGAUUGUUUGGAUUUGAUACCAAAAUGCAAAUUACAUUAAUGGUUGUUUUAACUUUAUUGAUUAAUUGAAAUUGCUUUUUGACUUGGGCAUUUUCAUAAAAAUGUGUACAAAAAUCAUUACUUCUGUUAUAGUUUAUUAUUUUUAGAGGAUACUGCCUAGAAAAAAGUCUUUCUGAGUCCCUUUUCCCAGAAUGCUUUAAGAGUUGAAAGAAAUUUUGUUGUUGCCUCAUAAUUUGAUAUUUUAAAUACAUAUUUUUAUCUUCAUAUUCCUAAACUUUAUUUUUUAUUUUUUAUUUUUUGAUGGAACUGGGGUUUCAACUCAGGGCUUCACACUUGCAAACCUCUCCAGCCACACCCCCAGACUAUUUUGCUGUGGUUAUUUUAGGGAUGUUGGGGCUGGCCUUGAACUCUGAUCCUCCCGAUCUCAGCCUGCCAAGUAGCUAGGAUUACAGGUGUGAGCCCCCGGUGCCUGGCGUAUUCCUCAGUUUUCAAAAACUGCAUCUGUACCAUAGCUGUGUGGUGGGCGUAUCCGUCAAACCCAGCACAAGGGAGGCAGAGGCAGGGUUGUGAGUUUGAGGCCAGUUUGGGCUAAGCAGCAAGAGC
ensembl:lncRNA